rnacentral:siRNA from 1 species
GUGGUGGUGAAUGGUUCUAUCUU